UUCACCAAAACCCCUUAAAAUUAAUAUAUAUACUCCAAACCAUAUUCCCAAUUAUUCCCAACAACACCCAAUCCAAAAAAAUAAUAAUUUUUGAAAACUCAAAUUAGAAUUCAAAGCUUUUUAAUGACGGUCAAUGGUGGAGUUGCUGCUCUCCAUUCCUUUCCUCUUCUAUUACUGAAAUUUGGGAUUGCGAUAUAGAGAGAGAGUAGAGGAAUUCUCAAAUCCUUGCAACAGCAUCCAAUCCAAACAAACAAUGUCUUUUGAAAAUCCAAAUUCGAAUUCAAACCUUGGCUAUGGAAGAAAUAAUGGGAUUUUGAUAAAAAAAUUGUAGGUCUGGGAAGGAAACGUGGGUGAAGA
rnacentral:lncRNA from 1 species